rnacentral:rRNA from 1 species
AGAAUCAACGCUGGCGGCGUGCCUAACACAUGCAAGUCGCACGAGAAAGGGUAGCAAUACCUGAGUAAAGUGGCGCACGGGUGAGUAACACGUGAAUUAUCUACCUCCGAGUGGGGAAUAACUGAGAGAAAUCUUAGCUAAUACCGCAUAACACUUACGAGUCAAAGCAGCAAUGCGCUUGGAGAGGAGUUCGCGGCCGAUUAGUUAGUUGGCGGGGUAAUGGCCCACCAAGACGAUGAUCGGUAUCCGGCCUGAGAGGGCGCACGGACACACUGGAACUGAAACACGGUCCAGACUCCUACGGAGGCAGCAGUGGGGAAUUUUGCGCAAUGGGGGAAACCCUGACGCAGCAACGCCGCGUGGAGGAUGAAAUAUCUUGGUAUGUAAACUCCUUUCGAUCGGGACGAUUAUGACGGUACCGGAAGAAGAAGCCCGGCUAACUUCGUGCCAGCAGCCGC